UGCCAGCCGCCGCGGUAAAACGUAGGAGGCAAGCGUUAUCCGGAUUUACUGGGCGUAAAGCGCGGGUAGGCGGCGAUCUAAGUCAUGCGUGAAAGCUCCCUGGCUCAACCGGGAGAGGUCGUGUGAGACUGGAUGGCUAGAGGCAGGUAGAGGCUGACGGAAUUCCGGGUGGAGUGGUGAAAUGCGUAGAGAUCCGGAGGAACACCAGUGGCGAAGGCGGUCAGCUGGGCCUAGCCUGACGCUCAGACGCGAAAGCAUGGGGAGCGAACGGGAUUAGAUA
rnacentral:rRNA from 1 species